rnacentral:tRNA from 1 species
UGGGGCGUAGACAAACUGGCAAGUCAGGAGACUUUGGAUCUCCCAUGUGGAGGUUCGAAUCCUCCCGCCCCAGCCA